GAUGAACGCUGGCGGCGUGCCUAAUACAUGCAAGUCGAGCGAACAGACGAGGAGCUUGCUCCUCUGACGUUAGCGGCGGACGGGUGAGUAACACGUGGAUAACCUACCUAUAAGACUGGGAUAACUUCGGGAAACCGGAGCUAAUACCGGACAAUAUAUUGAACCGCAUGGUUCAAUAGUGAAAGACGGUUUUGCUGUCACUUAUAGAUGGAUCCGCGCCGCAUUAGCUAGUGGGUAAGGUAACGGCUUACCAAGGCGACGAUGCGUAGCCGACCUGAGAGGGAGAUCGGCCACACUGGAACUGAGACACGGUCCAGACUCCUGCGGGAGGCAGCAGUAGGGAAUCUUCCGCAAUGGGCGAAAGCCUGACGGAGCAACGCCGCGUGAGUGAUGAAGGUCUUCGGAUCGUAAAACUCUGUUAUUAGGGAAGAACAAAUGUGUAAGUAACUAUGCACGUCUUGACGGUACCUAAUCAGAAAGCCACGGCUAACUACGUG
rnacentral:rRNA from 1 species